UCAUAGAAUUUCUUUAAAUUCAUGAUGUCGUAAGGGAAAAUAAUGAUAUAACCUUACUAUGAGUGCCGUCCAAAACUCGUGCCAGAAGACUCGGUAAGACGAGAGGCGCAAACGUUAAUCAUCUUAAACAGGCGUAAAGGGUUUGUAGGCAGUUUUUAUAAGAUUAUUAACUUAAAAAGAUAAUUUAAUAUAAAUUUAUUUAUAUUUUUUUUUAAAGUGGAACAUGAGUCUGAUUGAAAGCUAGAAUCAAAAAGAGGUUAUAGUGUAUAACGCCUAGAGGAGGGCUGAUAUCCUUAGAUCCUAGGCAGAAUACUCAGGGCGAAGGCCACUCUCCACUAAUGAUUGACGCUGAGAAACGAAGGUUAGGAUAGGAAAUAGGAUUAGAUACCCCGGUACUCCUUUCUGUAAACGAUGAAUGGUAGUCAUUAGUACAACAAAUUACUAGAGGCGAAGUUAACACAAUAACCAUUCCGCCUUGUGAGUACUACUGCAAAGUAGAAAACAAAAAAAUUAGUCGGUCUCGAAGCAAACGGAGUGAAGCAUGUUAUUUA
rnacentral:rRNA from 1 species